rnacentral:rRNA from 1 species
UACGGGGGGGGCAAGCGUUGUUCGGAAUUACUGGGCGUAAAGGGCGCGUAGGCGGUUUGUUAAGUUGGAUGUGAAAACUGUGGGCUUAACCCAUAGCCUGCAUCCAAAACUAGCAGGCUAGAGUUCUGGAGGGGAUAGCGGAAUUCCUGGUGUAGCGGUGAAAUGCGUAGAUAUCAGGAGGAACACCGGUGGCGAAGGCGGCUAUCUGGACAGAGUCUGACGCUGAGGCGCGAAAGCUAGGGGAGCAAACAGG